rnacentral:rRNA from 1 species
CUAACUCCGUGCCAGCAGCCGCGGUAAUACGGAGGGUGCGAGCGUUAAUCGGAAUUACUGGGCGUAAAGCGCAUGCAGGUGGUUUGUUAAGUCAGAUGUGAAAGCCCGGGGCUCAACCUCGGAAUUGCAUUUGAAACUGGCAAACUAGAGUACUGUAGAGGGGGUAGAAUUUCAGGUGUAGCGGUGAAAUGCGUAGAGAUCUGAAGGAAUACCGGUGGCGAAGGCGGCCCCCUGGACAGAUACUUGACACUCAGAUGCGAAAGCGUGGGGAGCAAACAGGAUUAGAUACCCUGGUAG